rnacentral:snRNA from 1 species
GUGCUCGCUUUGGCAGCACAUAUGCUAAAAUUGGAACGAUACAGAGAAGAUUAGCAUGGCCCCUGCACAAGGAUGACACACAAACUCAUGAAGCGUUCCAUAUUUUA